rnacentral:rRNA from 1 species
GACGAACGCUGGCGGCGUUCCUAAUACAUGCAAGUAGGACGCAGUUGCUAACGGGUGAGUAACGCGUAGGUAACUACCUAUUAGAGGGGGAUAACUAUUGGAAAAGAUAGCUCAUACCGCAUACUAGUAGAUGUACCUGCGUUGUAUUAGCUAGUAGGACGGGUAAUGGCCUACCUAGGCAACGAUACAUAGCCGACCUGGGAGGGUGGUCGGCCAACCUGGGACUUGGAAACGGCCCGGACUCCGACGGGAGGCAGCAGUAGGGAAUCGUCGGCAAUGGGGGGAACCCUGACCGAGCAACGCCGCGUGAGUGAAGAAGGGUUUCGGAGCGUAAAGCUCUGUUGUUAAGGAAGCGGUACUUAACCAGAAAGGGCCGGCUAACUACGUGCCAGCAGCCGCGGUAAUUC